UAGGGAAUCUUCGGCAAUGGACGGAAGUCUGACCGAGCAACGCCGCGUGAGUGAAGAAGGUUUUCGGAUCGUAAAGCUCUGUUGUUAGAGAAGAACGUUGGUAGGAGUGGAAAAUCUACCAAGUGACGGUAACUAACCAGAAAGGGACGGCUAACUACGUGCCAGCAGCCGCGGUAAUACGUAGGUCCCGAGCGUUGUCCGGAUUUAUUGGGCGUAAAGCGAGCGCAGGCGGUUCUUUAAGUCUGAAGUUAAAGGCAGUGGCUUAACCAUUGUACGCUUUGGAAACUGGAGGACUUGAGGGCAGAAGGGGAGAGGGGAAUUCCAUGUGUAGCGGUGAAAUGCGUAGAUAUAUGGAGGAACACCGGUGGCGAAAGCGGCUCUCUGGUCUGUAACUGACGCUGAGGCUCGAAAGCGUGGGGAGCAAACAGG
rnacentral:rRNA from 1 species